UACGUAGGGUGCGAGCGUUGUCCGGAAUUAUUGGGCGUAAAGAGCUCGUAGGCGGUUUGUCGCGUCUGCUGUGAAAACGCGAGGCUCAACCUCGCGCCUGCAGUGGGUACGGGCAGACUAGAGUGUGGUAGGGGAGAUUGGAAUUCCUGGUGUAGCGGUGGAAUGCGCAGAGUAUCAGGAGGAACACCGAUGGCGAAGGCAGAUCUCUGGGCCAUUACUGACGCUGAGGAGCGAAAGCGUGGGGAGCGAACAGGA
rnacentral:rRNA from 1 species